UACGUAGGGGGCGAGCGUUGUCCGGAAUUACUGGGCGUAAAGGGCGCGUAGGCGGCCAACUAAGUCAGACGUGAAAUCCCUCGGCUCAACCGGGGAACUGCGUCUGAUACUGGAUGGCUUGAAUUCGGGAGAGGGAUGCGGAAUUCCAGGUGUAGCGGUGAAAUGCGUAGAUAUCUGGAGGAACACCGGUGGCGAAGGCGGCAUCCUGGACCGAGAUUGACGCUGAUGCGCGAAAGCCAGGGGAGCAAACGGG
rnacentral:rRNA from 1 species